AUACAGAGGGUGCGAGCGUUAAUCGGAAUUACUGGGCGUAAAGCGCGCGUAGGCGGCUACUUAAGUCAGAUGUGAAAUCCCCGGGCUCAACCUGGGAACUGCAUCUGAUACUGGGUAGCUAGAGUUUAGGAGAGGGAAGUAGAAUUUCAGGUGUAGCGGUGAAAUGCAUAGAGAUCUGAAGGAAUACCAGUGGCGAAGGCGGCUUCCUGGCCUAAAACUGACGCUGAGGUGCGAAAGCGUGGGUAGCAAACGGGAGUAGAAACCCCAGUAGUCC
rnacentral:rRNA from 1 species